rnacentral:rRNA from 1 species
CGCUGGCGGCAUGCCUUACACAUGCAAGUCGAACGGCAGCACGGGAGCAAUCCUGGUGGCGAGUGGCGAACGGGUGAGUAAUAUAUCGGAACGUGCCCGGUCGUGGGGGAUAACGUAGCGAAAGCUACGCUAAUACCGCAUACGAUCUACGGAUGAAAGCGGGGAUCGCAAGACCUCGCGCGAUUGGAGCGGCCGAUAUCAGAUUAGGUAGUUGGUGAGGUAAAGGCUCACCAAGCCGACGAUCUGUAGCUGGUCUGAGAGGACGACCAGCCACACUGGAACUGAGACACGGCCCAGACUCCUACGGGAGGCAGCAGUGGGAAUUUUGGACAAUGGGCGCAAGCCUGAUCCAGCAAUGCCGCGUGCAGGAUGAAGGCCUUCGGGUUGUAAACUGCUUUGUACGGAACGAAACGGUGAGCUCUAAUACAGUUUGCUAAUGACGGUACCGUAAGAAUAAGCACCGGCUAACUACGUG